UCCUCGCGUCCUGCACCUCCAUUCGAACACGUCAUUGCCUCUGCCGGUUAGCAUAUUCUCGCGUCGUUUUGUUCUUUUGUUCUUCUUCGUCUGUAUUAACAGUCACGGGUAAAUCCUUCGUUUUGGCCGGGGAUAUACUCAAGAGGUUUGGAUUGCCUAAAAGAUAUCAAGUUGGAUUCAUUCAUCUAUGAGGAAUACUUUGUUUGUUUGUUCUGGCAGGAAGGAGUCUAUGACAUACAACGAAGAAGGAACUCAUGGCAGGAUGGAGUCUAUGACACGAGCAGUCCAAUCUCAACAGGAAAAACUUCACUUCCAAUCUCAACAACAAGAAGAAGUAGCAGCACUACAAAAGUAUAUUAUUCUGUUAGGACUUGGAUAUCAUCUUUCAUAGGACUUGGAUAUCAUCUUUCAUAGGACUAGGAUAUUCAUUAUCUCAUUUGUAUUACAGCUGAAAUAUAUUAUUCUGUUAUUUUUAUCUCUC